rnacentral:lncRNA from 1 species
UGGGUAUGGGCUGAGUGGUUAGAGAGAGAGAGACCAUCUGGGUAAGGGCUGAGUGUGGUUAGAGAGAGAGAGAGAGACCAUCUGGGUAGGGGCUGAGUGGUUAGAGAGAGAGACCAUCUGGGUAGGGGCUGAGUGGUUAGAGAGAGAGACCAUCUGGGUAGGGGCUGAGUGGUUAGAGAGAGAGAGACCAUCUGGGUAGGGGCUGAGUGGUUAGAGAGAGAGAGAGACCAUCUGGGUAGGGGCUGAGUGGUUAGAGAGAGAGAGACCAUCUGGGUAGGGGCUGAGUGGUUAGAGAGAGAGACCAUCUGGGUAGGGGCUGAGUGGUUAGAGAGAGAGAGACCAUCUGGGUAGGGGCUGAGUGGUUAGAGAGAGAGAGACUAUCUGGGUAGGGGCUGAGUGGUUAGAGAGAGAGAGACCAUCUGGGUAGGGGCUGAGUGGUUAGAGAGAGAGAGACCAUCUGGGUAGGGGCUGAGUGGUUAGAGAGACCAUCUGGGUAGGGGCUGAGUGGUUAGAGAGAGAGACCAUCUGGGUAGGGGCUGAGUGGUUAGAGAGACCAUCUGGGUAGGGGCUGAGUGGUUAGAGAGAGAGACCAUCUGGGUAGGGGCUGAGUGGUUAGAGAGAGAGAGACCAUCUGGGUAGGGGCUGAGUGGUUAGAGAGAGAGACCAUCUGGGUAGGGGCUGAGUGGAUAGAGAGACCAUCUGGGUAGGGGCUGAGUGGUUAGAGAGAGAGAGACCAUCUGGGUAGGGGCUGAGUGGUUAGAGAGAGAGACCAUCUGGGUAGGGGCUGAGUGGUUAGAGAGAGAGAGACCAUCUGGGUAGGGGCUGAGUGGUUAGAGAGAGAGAGAGAGACCAUCUGGGUAGGGGCUGAGUGGUUAGAGAGAGAGACCAUCUGGGUAGGGGCUGAGUGGUUAGAGAGAGAGACCAUCUGGGUAGGGGCUGAGUGGUUAGAGAGAGAGAGACCAUCUGGGUAGGGGCUGAGUGGUUAGAGAGAGAGAGAGACCAUCUGGGUAGGGGCUGAGUGGUUAGAGAGAGAGAGACCAUCUGGGUAGGGGCUGAGUGGUUAGAGAUGAUAGGAUAGUAGAGGAGAGAGUAGUGAGAGAGAGAGAGAGAGAGAGAGAGAGAGAG